UACGGGGGGAGCAAGCGUUGUUCGGAUUUACUGGGCGUAAAGGGCGCGUAGGCGGCCACCGCAAGUCAGUUGUGAAAUCUCUGGGCUUAACCCAGAAAGGUCAACUGAUACUGCGGGGCUAGAGUGCAGAAGGGGCAACUGGAAUUCUCGGUGUAGCGGUGAAAUGCGUAGAUAUCGAGAGGAACACCUGCGGCGAAGGCGGGUUGCCGGGCUGACACUGACGCUGAAGCGCGAAAGCUAGGGGAGCGAACGGG
rnacentral:rRNA from 1 species